GAUGAACGCUAGCGGCAGGCUUAAUACAUGCAAGUCAAGGGGUAGCAAUACAACCGGCGCACGGGUGAGUAACGCGUACACAACAUACCAUAUACUGGAGUAUAGCUUUGGGAAACUGAAGGUAAUCCUCCAUAACAUUGCGAGAGGGCAUCUGAUUGCAAUUAAAGUUUCGGCGGUAUAUGAUUGGUGUGCGUUUGAUUAGCUAGUUGGUAGGGUAACGGCCUACCAAGGCGACGAUCAAUAGCUGGCGUGAGAGCGCGACCAGCCACACUGGAACUGAGACACGGUCCAGACUCCUACGGGAGGCAGCAGUAGGGAAUAUUGGACAAUGGAGGAAACUCUGAUCCAGCCAUGCCGCGUGAUAGAUGAAGGCCCUCUGGGUUGUAAAUAUCUUUUAUCUGGGAAGAAACACUCCUAUUCUUUAGGAACUUGACGGUACCGAGAGGAAUAAGCACCGGCUAACUACCGUGCCAGCAGCCGCGGUAAAGUA
rnacentral:rRNA from 1 species